rnacentral:rRNA from 1 species
GACGAACGCUGGCGGCGUGCCUAAUACAUGCAAGUCGAGCGGACGAAUCGAAAGCUUGCUUUUGAUUCGUUAGCGGCGGACGGGUGAGUAACACGUGGGCAACCUGCCCUGUAGACGGGGAUAACACCGAGAAAUCGGUGCUAAUACCGGAUAACACGAAAUGUCGCAUGACGUUUCGUUGAAAGACGGCGCAAGCUGUCGCUACAGGAUGGGCCCGCGGCGCAUUAGCUAGUUGGUGAGGUAACGGCUCACCAAGGCGACGAUGCGUAGCCGACCUGAGAGGGUGAUCGGCCACACUGGAACUGAGACACGGACCAGACUCCUGCGGGAGGCAGCAGUAGGGAAUCUUCCGCAAUGGACGAAAGUCUGACGGAGCAACGCCGCGUGAGAGAAGAAGGCCUUCGGGUCGUAAAGCUCUGUUGUUAGGGAAGAACAAGUAACGCAGUAACUGGCGUUACCGUGACGGUACCUAACGAGAAAGCCACGGCUAACUACGUG